rnacentral:rRNA from 1 species
GACGAACGCUGGCGGCGUGCUUAACACAUGCAAGUCGAACGGAAAGGCCCUGCUUUUGUGGGGUGCUCGAGUGGCGAACGGGUGAGUAACACGUGAGUAACCUGCCCUUGACUUUGGGAUAACUUCAGGAAACUGGGGCUAAUACCGGAUAGGAGCUCCUGCUGCAUGGUGGGGGUUGGAAAGUUUCGGCGGUUGGGGAUGGACUCGCGGCUUAUCAGCUUGUUGGUGGGGUAGUGGCUUACCAAGGCGUUGACGGGUAGCCGGCCUGAGAGGGUGACCGGCCACAUUGGGACUGAGAUACGGCCCAGACUCCUACGGGAGGCAGCAGUGGGGAAUAUUGCACAAUGGGAGGAAGCCUGAUGAAGCAACGCCGCGUGCGGGAUGACGGCCUUCGGGUUGUAAAACGCUUUCGCCUGUGACGAAGCGUGAGUGACGGUAAUGGGUAAAGAAGCACCGGCUAACUACGUG